rnacentral:misc_RNA from 1 species
AACGCACGAGACCUGCGGACCUGCGGAAGGAUCAUUACUGAGUUUCACAACUCUCUAACCCUGUGUGAACUGAAGUCUGGUUGCUCAGGCAGGCGGCCCCCGGGGGGAGCCGCAGCUUCUCUGAAGCGCCUGCCGGAGGAUACCUAAACUCGUUUUAACAUAUAAUCUUCUGAGUAAUAAAAAAAAAAUGAAUCAAAACUUUUAGCAAUGGAUCUCU